GUGUUGGACUUUGUCCCUUUUCCCCUGGACCAUUGCACAUCCUGCCCUGUACACGUGGGGUUUGUAAAUAAAUGGACAGAGUUCAUGUUCAUGGACAUCAGGAUAAAAACAGAAGAUGGAAACCUGCCAGAUUUGAGCUGCUCAUGUGUCGUCCCUGGGCAGGUCACAUGACUCUAUC